rnacentral:sRNA from 2 species
CAACCUCAAAUGCAGUUUCAGGAGCGAGGACGGGGGACCCAACAUCCCUUGAGGAACCGGCCGAUCGACUCGUCGAACGGCCUUGGGGUUAAGUCCCGACAGCGUCACAUCCAGUGAUGCCAGCGGGGCCGAGCACCUCUCGCUCGAACCCGACAGCUCACCUCGUAGGCGCGUGGAGAGAGGAAAG